CACAAAAUUCGUAGCAGAGGGAUUCGUGGUUUUACUGAGAUCGCAAUCGUGUCAGUAGUCGCAGGGUCUGCGAGAGGGAGAGGUGGCAGAGGGAGGCAAUGGAUCUCGGAGACCAGCCCGGGCAGGUCGAGAGAUUCCGUGGAGGUGGGGUCAGAGGGGCACAUGCUGUGAAACCGACCAGCGGAGUCUUGUGAAUGUUGGCAUUUCGUGGAUUUUGGGCGAAACAGGGAGAAAAGGGGGCGUCGUGCGCAAGAAACAUGACAAUCAUCGCAGCACGGACAGCCCACUUUUCUAAGUGCCGCGGCUGAUUGUGCGCCUGCAUGACGCGGGUCGAAUAGAUUUACGACGUGGAUUUCGCCGAUCUCUGACAUUUUGGUGGCGGAUGCGGCUGGAGUGGAGCGUAUUUGUGAGGCGCACCGGUGUAUCCUCGGUGCCAAUGCUGCGCAGGAAGGUGGACCUGCUAGUUGCGGCAGAGUCCCCGUGUGAUUUGUAAUGUGAUGUGCGUCGUGGUUGAAUCUGAGGAAAAGGCUUUGAGGAGUCUGGCGAUUUGUGGGAUCGGGGAUUUUGGUGCACGGAAGAGUGUAAGAAAUGCUGAAAAAAGUCGCGAAGAGUAAGCACCUAAAGGCGACGAGAAAGAAGUCGGAGAGGAUUGAGAGAUGUAAGGGUGAUCAGUUGAGUCAGAAGGAACUCCUGCAGCCGGAGCACGGCCGGAGAAGGUAUGGCAGCUACGGAAUUUCGUGGUUUGCUGUGGCCAGGAUCCCAGCCGCGCUAUUGGUCUUCGUCCCCCUCGUCUUGCUCUUCCCGUCAAUUGAAAAGCUUCCAAAUCUUGAAGGAUUCUUUCACUCUACUAUCCUUGCAGCAAGGAACCGAGCAGCUCCAUCUUCAUUGUCGAAAACAAGAGAAUCGCAUUCCAAGAAGUCUUAUGCCUCACAUCUGAGUCGUCAAUGGUGCUAUCUUAACGACACAGAGCAUCUCGACGCAGGAGCUUGCUCAGUCGUCAAUGGCAGUAUGGCGUUUGCAAAUGGUGACACCCAAAGCUUGGGUACGAAGAUAAUUCAUACAAUUGAGGGGAAAAGUCUUUAUGAGGAGCUUUCUGCAUCCAAAAAGCACAUGUCAUUUUUCGCCUCGGCAAGCUCUGUAGCUGAAGAUGGCCAUGAUUUUUUUCCAGUGGAGUCAGCUGCUUUCAUCGCUGAUGAAGAAGCUCCUUCGCGGAGAAAUGGAGCUACUUCUCUUCCCUGGAGUUCAGGCCUUCGGCAACCUCUCAAGUUUUGCCUGGUGGGUGUAGCUGGCGUUGACUGUCUCAGACAUAGCAGCGAAAGCGAUGCAUCCACUGUGCAGCUUUUGGAGCAUGGUUCACCUAAUGGUACUAUUUCAUGGUUGUCAGAAUUACCAUUUCUGGAUCAGAUGUGUUGCAGUCGCGAAAGGUUGUCAACAUCGGGCGAUUCAGAAGCUAUCGUAAUUGACAAACCAUGCUUGAUCUGUCAGAGGGAUUCCCUCACGGAUUCAGUUUCCUGUGAACCACUUUGUCAGAUGCCCACUAUAAACCAUCUCACACAGUCGGCAACUCGAGUUUGCUUGUGUGGACCAUCAUUUGUUGAAGCAUUUAGUGCUGAUGUUUCAAAAUUUCGUCUUUCUGGGAAUCCCUUUAAUACAACACCUUCAGGUGAAGCUGAGACCACCGAGACACCAUCACUGGGACAGCCCUCUGAGGUUCCUAUCGUUCCGCUUGAGAUUGUUACCCAAUCUUCAGCAGAUCAAGCCGUGAAGGAGGAACUUCUGAAGUCUGAUACGUCAGUUGAGGUACAACAGGAGUUGAGUCGGCCAUUGCGGGUAACACAGGUCAAGAGCUUGGAUGAGUAUAAGAAGACAGUUCUUGAGAAACGGCGUACGGUGAAUGGCAGUGGUAGUAUUCAUUAUCCGCAAAAUCAAAAUCCGGAUGGGAGGUUCAAUUAUGCUGCUGUCUCACAUGGCGCGAAAGUGGUUGCCUCUAACAAGGAUGCAAAAGGAGCCUCAAACCUGUUGGUGCCAGACAAGGACAAGUACUUACGGAAUCCUUGCAGUGCCGAGGACAAGUACAUUGUUGUCGAACUGGCAGAAGAAACUUUUGUUGAUACUGUCUUGAUAGGCAAUCUUGAAUACCAUUCCUCAAAUGUGAAGAACUUCGAGCUUCUUGGUAGUCCUGAGGUUUACCCAACAGAGAAGUGGAUAUCUCUUGGGAAUUUUGAAGCUGAAAAUGUCAGGCACAUCCAAAAUUUCACUCUUCCAGAGCCCAAGUGGGUACGUACCUUGAAGCUCCACUUGCUUACACAUUAUGGCUCAGAGUUUUAUUGCACAUUGACUGUCUUACAAAUCCAUGGAGUUGAUGCCAUUGAGCAUCUUUUGGAAGAUUGGAUUGUUGGAGACGAUGUUGAUCUGGGGAAAGGCGGUCGACGUGUUCUACCAAAUGGGACAACAGGUUCGAGUAGUAGCGGUGCCAGUGCUGGUGAAGGUGUCUCUGACAAAGGUGUAACUAAGUCUUUUAAACCGAAUGAUACGGGUGAUGACAUGGAUCCUUCCGAUUUACUAAUGGAUCCUCUCGAAAAACCAAUGAAGGAUGAAUGUGAAAGCAACGUUAAUCCUGAGGUACGACGGAAGGAAGAACCAGCCAAGGGAGUCAGUGGGGGUCCUCAAGAAGGAUGGCUACAUUUAUCAGGCCGACCGUCUGGAGAGUCAGUGUUGAAAAUACUGAUGCAGAAAGUGAAGCAGUUGGAGCUUAACCAUUCACUACUUGACAGCUAUCUUGGAGACCUGUUUGAGAAAUAUAAAGGAAUGUUUGCCGACAUUGACAAUGAUCUUGCUGCUGUUGCCGCCCAGAUCAGAAACGAGACUGUUAUUGCUUCCUCGCUUGUGGCCCACUUACAUAAAAUCGAAAUGAAGCGAGAAUUGGAAAACGAGGCCUUGGAUGCUGAAUUGAGUGCGAAAUUUGAUGCCCUUCAGAAUGACAUGGAUUCAAUGAGGAUUAGAGUGAAAGAAAUGGAGAACCGUGAGGCUCUGGCGAUCACAAUUGCUCUUAUUUGCCUGGUUUUGUCUCCUAUUCUUUACUUCAUUCAACAUGGCCCUUAUUUGCGAUUAUAAGUGCUGCAAACUAUCAGACUUUUUCGACUGUUUUGAGCAGCUGGGAUUAUACAAAGACGUCUAACUUUUCAGUGAGCACCUCGAUUACUGUCAUGCUCACUCAUGUACCACGAGGUCGAAUCAUACCACUAUUCUAGCUUUGAUCGAUAAUGUGCUAUCAAGUGUUUUAUCUGCAUGAAAGCUUGAAAGAGUUUAACAUUCAGCUCAUUUGGUUUCUUACGGUGGAAAUCGAACGAUCUGAAAUUGGCUCUUGGCUACGAUUUUCAAACAUCCCUUCAACCAGGGCGAUUGGGAUAUCCAACCAUAUAUAUAUAUAUAUAUAUAUAUACAUCUGGAGUUUUUAGAGCUGCCCGAGUCCAAGCUGUGGAAGGAAAUGCAUCGAUACAGAAAAGCGGGCGCCCACGGCUUGCUUCGUCCACAAGAAGGAACAGCCUCUGGAAAAAUCGAUGCUUGGUAAUGGUUCCCUGACAGAGUAGUGAAUGAUCAGAUGGUUUUGUGCACUCAUUUCGUUCCACAUGGAAGUACCUGACCGUCAUGUAAGUCAACGCAGCUCUCUACGCAGCAAUUUCACACAUGUCAAACCGAAUGUUCUGGAAGUUUGGAGUGUACCACUAGGUUCAAGCUUCUAGCAUUGAGGCCUCAUAUUUACUCCCAUGGCGCUCAUGCAAUGCGGGUGUCCUUCAACGACCGUCUCUGAGCGCUCUUCUGCCAUUUUGGCGUACACCCAUUACUACUGAAGCUCAUUAAUGGACUCAUGGACGCGGAAAUACAAGGCGCAGGGAGAAUGUAGUAGCUGGUCUCUCUUAUUAGUGUCGUGAUAAUUUGCAGAAAAUUGGUAGACUUGUGAAGGCUAGCUAACAGCUCCGCACGGUUACAUGAAGACUUAAAUUGACUCACCUUGUACUGGGUUGAUUGCGCCAUCCAGUACCUGGAGGGCGCUGUUGUCAGAAUUUUGCUAAAUCCGGAUGCAAAUCAGCAACAGUCUUGUAGGUUUCUGGUCUUUUCAGAGUGUCCCUGCAAUUUUAGCCUGUCGUCAUUGAAGUUGUUGGAUCUCCUUGAGGGUACAAUUGGCUUUGAUCCAAUUUGAUUGAAGCUUGUGCAGCCCGCAAUUCGGUAUAUGUCUCAGCGGCGGCCAUAAUACCCAAUUUAGAGUUCCGUGUAUGUCCUACAUAAAUCUACCUCUUGUGCGAGUUGAAGAGAAGGAAGCAGUGGAAAUUUGUGAGAUGCGAGUGAGGCCGUGGGAUUUCGAGAGCGUUCCAGGGAAGCUUGGCGGCCACGACGUUGAAGUUUUUGUGUAGGUAGUUGUGCAGUGGUACGUCGUAAUGUGUGGGGUACAAGCACUCGAUGGCAAGCACUCGAGAUGCAGAUAGUCUAUACUCGAGGGGCGGCAUUUUGCAGGGCUGGGGCUGUCAUCAUGCUUGUAUGGUGUUUGUUGUGAAGAUGCGUAACCUUUUGCAGCCAUCGCCGGGCUCUGAGUUCUAGUAUGACUCUUCUCUCACCUUAUGACUGUAGGUUUCAUGAGCUUCUGCAGUCAGAUUGUCCAGCAUUGAGCUAUCAAGUGCAGGCACAGCUAUGGCGUUGAAGACUAGGUUCUACCUAUGGCUCUGUAGUUUCGUGCUUUUCGUCAACUGUUUGUUGUACACUGUCGAUGGAGGGGAGCUGACGUUAGGAGUAGCUGCUGCGUUCUCCGUGAAGCACCCGCAGACUUACGUCAACAGGAAGCUGCGCGCGUCGAUACCUUCCUGCACCAAGGCGGACAUUAGUAUCACUCAGGGAAAGAGUGGGAACAGCAACGGCAUUCCGGCCUUCAGCGUCCAGAUCACGAACUUGUGCAUAAACCACAACUGCCAGCUGAGGAACAUCCAUGUGGCGUGUGCGGCGUUUGCUUCUGCGCGGCCUCUUGAUUCUCGCGUCUUCCAGCGCAUCAAGUAUAACGACUGCUUGGUGAUGGGCGGUGCGCCGCUACGAGCAGGCGGGAGUGUGGCCUUCGAGUACGCAAAUUCUUCCGAGUACCCCAUGCAUGUCAUCUCUGCGGAUCUAGGUCCUUGCUCAUAACCUUCAUUCUCCCCACACUUAUGAUGCUUUCUCUGCUUUUGGGAUCCUUUUUGAUAACAGACGUUGCUCAUGUUUAUUGUCUUCCCUUUUCCACACUCGAAAGGAUCACCGGAACUCCGCCCCGAAAUCAUAGAAAGUAUCUACAGUACUCUUCAUUGCAUAAUUUAGGUUUUCGGAAUGUUUGAAGUCUUGUAUAAUCUCUUCUACAAGAAUAAUAUCAACUCUCUGCCCCAUUAGCCUGGCAGAUCACUCCUUGGGCAUGUCCUUGCCCUCAUGUUGUUUUCUGCUCUGUUGAUUCCCUCCAACAAGAAUGGAGGAUUUUUUUAGUCAAACUACUCCUUGUAUCUCCAGGCUUUA